rnacentral:lncRNA from 1 species
UAUCUAAAAUUUUAUUUUAAAAUAAUACAAUUUUAUUAUUAAAAGUUAGAGCAGUGACUUUUUAAAGUGUGACAUUUUACUGCAGCUACAGAAACAUCUGGGCUCAGGCAGCUGCCGGAUUGCUCUUUCAACCAUCGCACCACACAUUUACAGUUUUGUACCAAAUGGACAUCCACUUUCAAGCGAAGUCGGAGCAGGCACACAAUGUCUUUGGCCAGUACUGCCAGCAUGGUGUUCUGCUCCUGGAGAUGUUGCCAUCGAUUUAUUAAGUUUCCCUCCUAAUAUGGGAUCUACUUAUUUUACGUGGCCACUACCCCACCUUCUGAGAACGACCCAUAGUUUCUCUCGGAGGACUUGUCUUCACUGCUCCAGCUCCCAUCACCACCCCUCCAAUCCAUGUUAUGGACUGAAGUGAGCAGGCAAGCAGGUCACCAGGCUCUCCAGUAUGACCGAAAGGGGCUAAGAGAGUAAAAAGACUCCAAGACAAGAGAGGCUCCCCAGUACGUAGCUGUAUGUUCCAGUUGUAGGUCCUUCUGCUUGUGCUAUGUGAGAUGCCACCUCAGCAUGGCCUGAUAAGCGGUGCCAUGUCCACACCCAGGAUCCGAACCGGCGA